rnacentral:lncRNA from 1 species
UAUAUAUAUAUACUAGAACACACCCGCGAAAUCGCGGGCAUUCAAAGCGUAGUUUAAAGUAUGUAAAGUGUUGUUGGAAGAAUUUUGUAAAAUAUUUAAUGACUGGAGAAUUUCAGCAAAAGUAUCAUAAGUCAUAGGUUAUUGGGGACAGGAAAAUGCUUUUUUUAUUAUCCCUCCUCCUUUAUUUCCAAUAUUCCCAUUUUUUGGUUUUCUAUCAAUUUCAAUAUGAACAUACAUUUAGUAUGUUAUGAACAACACAAGUAAGGAGCCUGUAAUUCAGUGGUUGUUGUUUGUUUAUGUGUUACAUAUUUGUUUUUCGUUCAUUUUUUUGUACAUAAAUAAGGCCGCUAGUUUUCUGGUUUGAAUUGUUUUACAUUGUCAGUUCGGGGCCUUUUAACGCUGAGUAUGGGCUUUGCUCGUUGUUGAAGGUCGUACGGUAACCUAUAAUUGUUAAUAUCUGUGUCAUAUUGGUCUCUUGUGGAGAGUUGUCUCAACAUGGCAAUCAUACCACAUCUUCUUUUUUUGUAAUCAAUGAUUUUUGUAAAAGAUUUAAUGACUUGAGAAUUUCAGAAAAGGUAUCAAAAGUUCACAUGAAUAUUUUUAGCGCUUAUCUGUAUAUUAUGAGCAUUCAUUACUAUAUGAUAAAUAUAGUGUACAUGUAUUUACUUUACUAAUCGAUCCAUAGUGGUCAUUGAUAUAGUAUACAGACCCUCUCUAUUUAAUAAACUCUGUGACUGCCGUGGAUAGUAAACUUGAAAAUGAUAGCAGAUAGAAUUCUGAAAAUACACUUUAUUCUUUGUAUAUGUACGUUCAAAGUAUACAGAAAAACGCAAACCGGAAGUCUAAUCUUACUUAAAAUUUCGUCCAAUGACGGGACAAUAUCCGGAUGCCUUUUUUCUCGUUUUUCUCCAAAAUUAAGUCAAUCUGAAUAAUCAUAUGAAUGGAUGACAAAUGGCACUAUGCACUGUACCUAUAGGACACAGAGGCGUGUUGAUCAAUUAAUUGUGGAAAGAAGAGAAGCGACACCCA